GGCACAGUGGCAGAGCGGUCUAAUGCGAUAGACUAGAAAUCUAUUCUCUUCGGAGGCAUCGGUUCAAAUCCGAUCUGUGUCG
rnacentral:tRNA from 1 species